GUGGAUGCUGCCCAAUUCAAAUGAUUUUUGUUGAAAUCAAAUCUUAAACUAAGACAUAUUUAAAAUAUCUUUUAACAGUUCUGGCAUCAGAAGAAGAAAAUGAAGGACACUUGUAAUAGCACCCAGGAGCAAUAAGCAACCAGGGAAAGAUCUGUGGAACCUGAUAUUCAGAGCCUGAUAAGGAACUGUUUUUUAGGCCUUCUCCCCGAAAGCUAAAAUGAAACUAUAUAACCAGAGGGAAAGAAAAACAUUCUGAAGACAUUUGUGGAAGGAUUUACUAAAACAUUCCAAAGACACACAGCUCUAAAUCUAGAACAUAAGAAUCUUUUAAUUUCUAUCUUAUUUGAAGAUCUUCUCCCUGAUAUAAAGCAGCAAGUUGAAGAUAACACAACUAGAUGGGUGGGUCAGCCUCCAUAUCACUUAGGUUGCAACCCAAUUGUUUGAGAAAUUAAAACAACUGUACUUUGUCUUACAAACUGAGUCUUUAUAAGAAUAGAAAUGCAGCUCUAGACACAAUUCAAAGCCCACCUAUCCUUUUACCAAUCCUAAUAUAUCCCUAUUCAUCUCAAAAAGCUUGCAGAUAUUGGAAAAGAUCUAGACUUAGAGAACAAAAGUCCUUUUGUUGGUAGAAUUUUCAUUCUUUGUGCCUUUUGAGAUAUAAAUAUUCAACCAGUCUCCAAGAACCAGGUAAUUCCUAUCAAAAAGGGGGGUGGGGGGUGGGGUAGGGUGCAAAACUAAAACUAAAGACCGUUUUGAAAACUAGGCCUAAGAAAAAUCUUAAAAGUCUAUUUUACAAAUUAGUUACAAGCUUUAGCUAUCUUUGCAGGUAAUCUUAUUUCAUCUGCCAGAAACAUGAUUUGGAUCCAACUGUUCUUUUAUAAACUAGUGAGUUCUGUAUUCUACCUGCCAAAAUUUUUAAAUGAAAACUUGUGUCUGUAUGUUUAUGUAUGUCUAUGUAUGUAUGUUAUAAAUGUGACUUUUAUUCUACCUCCGAGUGGUAUUGCCAAAAUACUCUAAUCAGCUUAAAGAAAAUUAAGCACUUACAUAAAUCAAGUAUAAUCUCAGAAAUAUAGAAACCAAAAUGUUUUUCAAGUUCAUGUGAUCUAAGAUAAUUUUUGGUGAAUAAAAGCUAGUUUAAGUUUGUUUAAUUAA